AGUGCAAUACAGCUGCAGCUAAUGAUAACGAUGAUGAUAGUAGUAAUACUGAUGACAACAAUGAUUAUGAUGAUGACAAGUGAUAAUAGUUGCAGAGAUGUUGACAGCAUUGGAGUGUUUAAUUUUGUUUUUCUGUCCUACCUUUCGUCUGUUAGCAUAGUAAGCCGCCAGGUAUCAGCAAUGCAAUCAUCAUCAUCAAUAUCAUUAUCAUCAUCAUUGUCGUCUGUAACACUGCAGAAAACAUCAUCAAGAGGAGCACCACCAACACCAGUAUCAACAUCAUCAUUAAGUGCAUGGUCAUUUCAACAGAAGCAGCAGCAACGACAGCAGAAGAAGCAGCAGCAGCAGCAGCAGCAACAGCAGCAGUAGUAGUAGUAGUG